GAUGAACGCUGGCGGCGUGCCUAAUACAUGCAAGUCGAGCGAACAGAUGAGGAGCUUGCUCCUCUGACGUUAGCGGCGGACGGGUGAGUAACACGUGGAUAACCUACCUAUAAGACUGGGAUAACGUCGGGAAACCGGAGCUAAUACCGGAUAAUAUAUUGAACCGCAUGGUUCAAUAGUGAAAGACGGAUUUGCUGUCACUUAGAGAGGGAUCCGCGCCGCAUUAGCUAGUUGGUAAGGUAACGGCUUACCAAGGCAACGAUGCGUAGCCGACCUGAGAGGGUGAUCGGCCACACUGGAACUGAGACACGGUCCAGACUCCUACGGGAGGCAGCAGUAGGGAAUCUUCCGCAAUGGGCGAAAGCCUGACGGAGCAACGCCGCGUGAGUGAUGAAGGUCUUCGGAUCGUAAAACUCUGUUAUUAGGGAAGAACAAAUGUGUAAGUAAAUAUGCACGUCUUGACGGUACCUACACAGAAAGCCACGGCUAACUCCGUG
rnacentral:rRNA from 1 species